AGAACUUGUGUUUCUUUUUCUUUCCCCAAAGAAAUUUUCACUUCUAGGAACUUAGGGAUUUGUUAAGUCGGUUACUAACUAGCUUCUUCCCAUACCUAUGCAAUGCCAUAUGUAAGAAAAUUCAAGCAGGAAAAAUUGGUUUGGCUUAAAAAUUAAAUUCCUCUUUAUUAUAAGGAAAACAGGAGGUCCCACUAUAAAUUCCCUCUAAAUCAAUCCAUAAAAGGAACAUAACAUUACUAACCUUGGGACGCCUUCAUUUAUGACUGUUUCUUUUAUUCUCAUCUAUGUUUCCAUCACCAUGUCUAAAUGAAGAUAUCAGUUUCUUUAUAACAUAGUUCUACUACAUAUUUAAUAAUAAUAUGUUGAUGUCCACUUAAUAGUUUACAAUAAAAUCUAUCUUCUGAGAAUGACAAAAACAAACUUGGAGUCAAAGACUCAAGUAGUAGAACCCACGAGGAUGUCAGUAAAGAAAGUGUUCUUCUGGCUCUUCUGGCUGUAACAUCACCUGAGCUACAUUAAGUGAGCUUGAGAUUCUAGGGCCACAGUUUAUCUCCUGAACUACCUCUGACUCCCUUGCUGUCUUUGCACCCUGACUCAGGAGAGGCAGCUAAUCUUUUCAUCAUGUAGGAAGCACACUCUCAGAAAACAGCUGCACUUAACUGCUGGAUCCAAAUGGAGCAUGCCACUCUUGGCCUUUGGCAGAAAAUGUCUCUGGUUCCCAAAAUAAACCUAACCACAGGGUUAAGAUUUUCCCAUAAUUGAAGACUACUGAGAGAAAGCAUUGGUGGUGUGAGGGAUGAUAGACAUUUAAACCCACUGUACUCAACAAUUUGGGUUUAUUUUGUAGUCACAUUGGUUAUGCAGAGAACACUUGACCUUUGAGGAUCCAGACUCCCAUGAUAAGGUGUUAA
rnacentral:lncRNA from 1 species